rnacentral:rRNA from 1 species
CCUGGCGGCACUAGCGCGGUGGUCCCACCUGACCCCAUGCCGAACUCAGAAGUGAAACGCCGUAGCGCCGAUGGUAGUGUGGGGUCUCCCCAUACUCAGAAGUGAAACGCCGUAGCGCCGAUGGUAGUGUGGGGUCUCCCCAUGCGAGAGUAGGGAACUGCCAGGC